UUAUGUAUACUCAUUUUCUUCUCUGUUUGUUUAUGUAUUUGGGCAAAGUUUUGAUCUGACUUGUUAUAUGGGGGCAGGUCAAGUUCUCAUAUAAAAUUGAGUCAACAGUUUUUAGUGCCUGAAUUAUUUUAUGUUUAUGCAACAAUCCUGAUUUCGUGGCAAAGAGUAAGAAAUAGGCUCACUGCUCUCCAUACUUGUCUGAGUAAAGUGAUCAUGAAGUUCCUGAUGUUCAUAUAUGACAAGUCGGGGUUCUUACAGCUCAUACAACCUCCUAUCAUUGCUUCUUUGUCCUUUCUCUAUUACUAAGCUUCAAGCUUGAUUGGUGCAUAUCAUGAAGUUCCUGAUGUUCAUAUAUGACAAGUCGGGUUCUUACAGCUCAUACAACCUCCUAUCAUUGCUUAUAGAUUAUAUACUUUCGAGAGCGCAAACAUUGAGUUGGAAGAAUUUUCAUGCAAAGCGAAUAGUGAAAGAAGUAGAAAACUGAAUGUCGUCCACUCUUUUGAUCAUAACUCGAGUUAUACAACGCCAAAUGCAGCGUUUCAAAUUGGGUUGGAUUCUAGACUUCAAGAGCUUUCCAACGAGUGGUCACUCGCCUAAUUCCGACUUAUAACGAAGGAGAUAUGGUGUUUUUAAGAUACAGGAUCGUGCAGUUUGACGAGCAGAUCGCCCGAUCGGGCGGCCCAUUGCCUGAUCGGGCGCGACAACCCCUGGGCGCGGAUUUUUGCUUUGUUUCCGGUUUUUUUUCUUCUACUUUUGGGCAAGACUAUAAAUAUAGCCCUUAGACAUAUUAUUUGGGAUCUUAUUUUUUUUCUAGUACCUUAGUUUAUUGCUUAGUUUUUAUUCUUUCUCUAAACUUUUGUUAAUUACUUUUAUUAUUGCUUUCAAGUUUCAAACUUUAAAUUUCAUCCUUUGUUCUUCAA